UGAGGAAUUUUGGACAAUGGGGGAAACCCUGAUCCAGCGACGCCGCGUGAAGGAUGAAGGUCUUCGGAUUGUAAACUUCUUUUGCCUGGGAAUAAGAACUCUGUAGAAAUGCGGAGAAUGAAUGUACCAGGCGAAUAAGCCACGGCUAACUUCGUGCCAGCAGCCGCGGUAAUACGAAGGUGGCAAGCGUUACUCGGAAUUACUAGGCGUAAAGGGCAGGUAGGUGGUUUGGUUAGUCUGUUGUGAAAGCUCCUUGCUUAACGGGGAGAGGCCAACAGAUACUGCCAGACUUGAGUAUAGGAGAGGGUACUGGAAUUCCCGGUGUAGCGGUGAAAUGCGCAGAGAUCGGGAGGAACACCAAUGGCGAAAGCAGGUACCUGGACUAUUACUGACACUCAGCUGCGAAAGCUAGGGGAGCAAACAGG
rnacentral:rRNA from 1 species